UAAACUAGGAUUAGAUACCCUAUUAUAUUUAAAUAAAUAAAGUAGUAAAAAUAAUCAAACUAAUUUAAUUUGGCGGCAUUUCAUCUAAUUAGAGGAAUUUGUUUAUUAAUCGAUAAUCCACGUUAAUUUUCACUUUAACCUAAAAUUUAUAUACCGCCAUUUUAAGAAUCAAUUUAAAAAUUUCUUUCUCAAUAAAUCAUAAAAAAUUAGGUCAAGGUGUAAUCUAUAUUAAAGAAUAAAAUGAAUUACAUUAAAUAAUAUUUAAAGAUUAUUUAUAAAUAUAUUGAUAUAAAUAAGAAUUUAAAAGUAAUACAAUAAUAAUA
rnacentral:rRNA from 1 species